rnacentral:rRNA from 1 species
GACGAACGCUGGCGGCGUGCUUAACACAUGCAAGUCGAACGAUGAAGCCGGAGCUUGCUCCGGUGGAUUAGUGGCGAACGGGUGAGUAACACGUGAGCAAUCUGCCCUUGACUCUGGGAUAACUGCGGGAAACUGUAGCUAAUACCGGAUACGACACCUUGGGGCAUCCCAGGGUGUGGAAAGAAUUUCGGUCAAGGAUGAGCUCGCGGCCUAUCAGCUAGUUGGUGAGGUAAUGGCUCACCAAGGCGACGACGGGUAGCCGGCCUGAGAGGGUGACGGGCCACACUGGAACUGAGACACGGUCCAGACUCCUACGGGAGGCAGCAGUGGGGAAUAUUGCACAAUGGGCGAAAGCCUGAUGCAGCAACGCCGCGUGAGGGAUGAAGGCCUUUGGGUUGUAAACCUCUUUUAGCAGGGAAGAAGCGAAAGUGACGGUACCUGCAGAAAAAGCACCGGCUAACUACGUGCCAGCAGCCGCGGUAA